rnacentral:rRNA from 1 species
UACGGAGGGUGCAAGCGUUGUCCGGAUUUAUUGGGUUUAAAGGGUGCGUAGGCGGGGUCUUAAGUCAGUGGUGAAAGCCGGCAGCUCAACUGUCGAAUUGCCAUUGAUACUGGGGUCCUUGAAUUCAGUUGAGGUAUGCGGAAUUGAUGGUGUAGCGGUGAAAUGCAUAGAUACCAUCAGGAACACCGAUUGCGAAGGCAGCAUACUGGGCUUGAAUUGACGCUGAGGCACGAAAGUGUGGGGAUCGAAC